rnacentral:rRNA from 1 species
UUUGCAUGCGGCAUGCUAUACAUGCAGUCGAGCGGACAGAAGGGAGCUUGCUCCCGGAUGUUAGCGGCGGACGGGUGAGUAACACGUGGGUAACCUGCCUGUAAGACUGGGAUAACUCCGGGAAACCGGAGCUAAUACCGGAUAGUUCCUUGAACCGCAUGGUUCAAGGAUGAAAGACGGUUUCGGCUGUCACUUACAGAUGGACCCGCGGCGCAUUAGCUAGUUGGUGAGGUAACGGCUCACCAAGGCGACGAUGCGUAGCCGACCUGAGAGGGUGAUCGGCCACACUGGGACUGAGACACGGCCCAGACUCCUACGGGAGGCAGCAGUAGGGAAUCUUCCGCAAUGGACGAAAGUCUGACGGAGCAACGCCGCGUGAGUGAUGAAGGUUUUCGGAUCGUAAAGCUCUGUUGUUAGGGAAGAACAAGUGCAAGAGUAACUGCUUGCACCUUGACGGUACCUAACCAGAAAGCCACGGCUAACUACGUGCCAGCAGCCGCGGUAAUACGUAGGUGGCAAGCGUUGUCCGGAAUUAUUGGGCGUAAAGGGCUCGCAGGCGGUUUCUUAAGUCUGAUGUGAAAGCCCCCGGCUCAACCGGGGAGGGUCAUUGGAAACUGGGAAACUUGAGUGCAGAAGAGGAGAGUGGAAUUCCACGUGUAGCGGUGAAAUGCGUAGAGAUGUGGAGGAACACCAGUGGCGAAGGCGACUCUCUGGUCUGUAACUGACGCUGAGGAGCGAAAGCGUGGGGAGCGAACAGGAUUAGAUACCCUGGUAGUCCACGCCGUAAACGAUGAGUGCUAAGUGUUAGGGGGUUUCCGCCCCUUAGUGCUGCAGCUAACGCAUUAAGCACUCCGCCUGGGGAGUACGGUCGCAGACUGAAACUCAAAGGAAUUGACGGGGGCCCGCACAAGCGGUGGAGCAUGUGGUUUAUUUCGAAGCAACGCGAAGAAACCUUACCAGUCCUUGACAUCCUCUGACAACCCUAGAGAUAGGGCUUUCCCUUUCGGGACAGAGUGAACAGUGUGCAUGGUGGUCGUCAGCUCCGUGUCGUGAGAUGUUGGGUUAGUCCGCAACGAGCGCACCCCUGAUCUUAGUUGCCCAGCAUUCAGUUGGCACUCUAAGGUGAACUGGCGGUGACCAACCGGAGUAGUGGGGAAUUGACGUCAAUCUAUUCAUGGCCCUUAUGACUGCUUACCACGUGCUCACAAUGGACAGAAACAAAAUGGACUGCAAUACCCGCACACAGU